UGGCUGUCGUCAGCUCGUGUCGUGAGAUGUUGGGUUAAGGUACCCGUAACGAGCGCAACCCUGUCCUUAGUUACCAGCACGUUAUGGUGGGCACUCUAAGGAGACUGCCAGUGACAAACCGGACGGAAGGUGGGGAGUGACGUCAAGUCAUCAUGGCCCUUACGGCCUGGGCUACACACGUGCUACAAUGGUCGGUACAAAGGGUUGCCAAGCCGCGAGGUGGAGCUAAUCCCAUAAAACCGAUCGUAGUCCGGAUCGCAGUCUGCAACUCGACUGCGUGAAGUCGGAAUCGCUAGUAAUCGUGAAUCAGAAUGUCACGGUGAAUACGUUCCCGGGCCUU
rnacentral:rRNA from 1 species